AGGAGCCUGUUCUACGUGCGAGUUCCACCAUGCAAGUUUUGAGCGUAUAUGAAUCCAAAAACUUGACACGUUGAGCUCGUGCGUGGUGCAGCCAAAUCAUCGCAGCGC
rnacentral:pre_miRNA from 15 species